rfam:Candidatus Falkowbacteria bacterium RIFOXYC2_FTLL_36_12 rifoxyc2_full_scaffold_158, whole genome shotgun sequence.
AGUUAUACAUACUCAAGAGCGUAUGGUGGAUGCCUUGACAUCAAAAGACGAUGAAGGACGUAGCAAUCUGCGAUAAGCUUCGGGGAGGUGAUAAGCAACCUUUGAUCCGGAGAUCUCCGAAUGGGGAAACCCAGUCGAGUAAACCUCGGCUAUCUCUACCUGAAUACAUAGGGUAGUUGAAGAAGACCUGGGGAAGUGAAACAUCUCAGUACCCAGAGGAAUAUAAAGUAAAUAACGAUUCCCUUAGUAGUGGCGAACGAAAGGGGAACAGCCUAAACCAUCAUGACUAUACUUUUUGUGAAGUUUUUCUCUUCGGAGAAGAAUUGAUCGAUUUGUUUACGGCUAUAGGGCCAAUGUCUGAUUGGGGUAGCGGGAUAAUUAUGUCUAAGUACCUAUACACUUAGGGUAGUAGUUUUAAUAUUUAGUUGAAGGGGCUGGAAAGCUCAACCAUAGAAGGUGAAAGUCCUGUAAAUAAAAAAUAUUAAGACACUGCGAUAGUUAUUCCCAAGUAGGGCGGAACACGAGAAAUUCCGUUUGAAUCUGCCAGGACUAUCUGGUAAGGCUAAAUACUUUUGAUGAUCGAUAGUGAACUAGUACCGUGAGGGAAAGGUGAAAAGCACCCCGGUGAGGGGGCAUGAAAAGUAUCUGAAACCAUACGCUUACAAAGAGUCGGAGCCCGGUUUUUACUGGGUGACGGCGUGCCUAUUGAAGAAUGAGCCAACGAGUUCGUAUAUGUUGCUUGCUUAAGUUCGCGAAGAACGAAGGCGUAGUGAAAGCGAGGGUUAAAUGCCCGAAUUUGUAUCAUAUACGAGACCCGAAACCGGGUGAUCUAGCCAUGACCAGGAUGAAGACUUGGGAAACCAAGUUGGAGGUCCGAACCCACUCGCCGUGUAACACGAGGGGAUGAGUUGUGGUUAGCGGUGAAAUUCCAAUCGAACCCGGUAAUAGCUGGUUCUCCCCGAAACAGUUUUAGGACUGGCUUCUGAUGUUCCUUUUGGGGGUAGAGCACUGAAUAGGGUUAGGUGGGAAACCUUACUGACCUUAAUCAAACUCCGAAUACCAAAAGUCAAUAGUCAGAAAGUUAGACUGUGGGGGCUAAGCUCCAUAGUCGAAAGGGAAACAGCCCAGACCGUCGCUUAAGGUCCCUAAAUUUAGAUUAAGUGUAAAAGGUGGUGGGAUGACUUAUACAACUAGGAGGUUGGCUUAGAAGCAGCCAUCCUUUAAAGAUAGCGUAAUAGCUCACUGGUCUAGUUGUCCUGCAUCUAAAAUAUAACGGGGCUAAAAUCUAAUACCGAAAGCACGGGUUUAAGCAAUUAGUUUUAAUUGCCUGAGCGGUAGGGGAGCGUUCUAUGGGCGCUGAAGCCGGAUUUGUGAAAACCGGUGGAGCACAUAGAAGUGAGAAUGUUGGCAUGAGUAGCAAAAAGAUCGGUGAGAAUCCGAUCCACCGUAAGUCUAAGGCUUCCUGGGCAAUGAUUUUCAACCCAGGGUUAGUCGGUCCUAAGGCGAGGCUGAAAAGCGUAGUCGAUGGAUGAGCAGGUUAAUAUUCCUGCACUACUUCUAGUUUUCGAUGGGGUGACGUGAUAGAUGAAGAUUGUCGUGAUUUUGGUUAUGCACGUUGAUGAUGAUUAGGGUGGUUCCUGGUAAAUCCGGAGCCAUAAAGCCUGAAAAUUGUCUGAAGAAGUUGCUACGGCAACUUUAACCAGUAUGAUUCUAUGACCAAGAAAACCCUCUAGAGCUAAGCUAGAAGUAACCGUACCGUAAACCAACACAGGUAGACGAGGCGAGCAGCCUCAGGUGUACGAGAGAACCAUUGUUCAGGAACUCGGCAAAACAGCGGCCGUAACUUCGGGAUAAGGCCUGCCCUGUCUUUGACAGGGCCGCAGCAAAAGACUCCAUGCAACUGUUUACCAAAAACACAGGUCCCUGCUAAGUCGCAAGACGCAGUAUAGGGGCUGACGCCUGGCCAGUGUCCGAACGUUAAGGAGAGGGGUGCAAGCCCUGAUCUGAAGCGCGGAUGAACGCCGGCGAUAACUAUAAUCGUCCUAAGGUAGCGAAAUUCCUUGUCGGGUAAGUUCCGACCCGCACGAAUGGCGUAAUGGUGUGGAGACUGUCUUAACAAUGGACUCGGCGAAAUUGCAAUAUGAGUAAAGAUGCUCGUUACCCGUAGCCGGACGAAAAGACCCCGUGAAGCUUUACUACAACUUGACAUUGGACUAAGAACAUGCUUGUUCAGCAUAGGUGGGAGCCAAGGCGACAGUGAGAUACCACCCUUGUAUGUUUUUAGUUCUAAUCUUAUCCCGUAAUCCGGGAAAGAGACAGUGUCUGGUGGGUAGUUUAACUGGGGCGGUUGCCUCCCAAACAGUAACGGAGGCGUUUACAAAGGUUGGCUAGAUCCCGAUGGAAACGGGAUUGAUAGUGCAAACGCAUAAGCCAGCUUUACUGCGAGACCUACAAGUCGAGCAGUUGCGAAAGCAGAAGUUAGUGAUCCGACCGUACGAAAUAGGACGGCGGAAGCUCAACGGAUAAAAGCUACUCCGGGGAUAACAGGCUAGUCGCGCCCAAGCGUCCAUAGCGACGGCGCGGUUCGGCACCUCGAUGUCGGCUCGUCUCAUCCUGGGGGUGAAGAAGCUCCCAAGGGUUUGGCUGUUCGCCAAUUAAAGAGGCACGCGAGCUGGGUUCAGAACGUCGUGAGACAGUUCGGUCUCCUAUCCGCUACGGGCGUUGGAAAUUUGAGAAGACUCUUCCCUAGUACGAGAGGACCGGGAAGGACAAACCUCUAGUGUACCAGUUGUUCUACCAAGGGCAUUGCUGGGUAGCUAAGUUUGGUUUGGAUAAGCGCUGAAAGCAUCUAAGCGCGAAGCCGACUUCAAGAUUAGAUUUCCUUUGAGACUCCUUAUAGACUAUGAGGUUGAUAGGCGGCAAGUGUAAGGCUGGCAACAGUUUUAGCUGAGCCGUACUAAUAAGUCGAUAUGUAUAACUAC